rnacentral:rRNA from 1 species
ACGAACGCUGGCGGCGUGCUUAACACAUGCAAGUCGAACGGUGAAGCGCCUUCCUUUUUGGUGGGUGUGGAUGAGUGGCGAACGGGUGAGUAACACGUGAGUAACCUGCCCCCUUCUUCUGGAUAACCGCAUGAAAGUGUGGCUAAUACGGGAUAUUCUGGGUCUGUCGCAUGACGGGUCUGGGAAAGAUAUUGUUUCGGUGGGGGAUGGGCUCGCGGCCUAUCAGCUUGUUGGUGGGGUGAUGGCCUACCAAGGCGGUGACGGGUAGCCGGCCUGAGAGGGUGGACGGUCACACUGGGACUGAGACACGGCCCAGACUCCUACGUGAGGCAGCAGUGGGGAAUAUUGCACAAUGGGCGCGAGCCUGAUGCAGCGACGCCGCGUGAGGGAUGGAGGCCUUCGGGUUGUGAACCUCUUUCGCCAGUGAAGCAGGCCUGCCUCGUUUGUGGGUGGGUUGACGGUAGCUGGAUAAGAAGCGCCGGCUAACUACGUG